rnacentral:rRNA from 1 species
GAUGAACGCUGGCGGCGUGCUUAACACAUGCAAGUCGAACGGAAAGGCCCAAGCUUGCUUGGGUGCUCGAGUGGCGAACGGGUGAGUAACACGUGGGUGAUCUGCCCUGCACUUUGGGAUAAGCCUGGGAAACUGGGUCUAAUACCGGAUAGGACCAUCGUUUAGUGUCGGUGGUGGAAAGUUUUUCGGUGUGGGAUGAGCUCGCGGCCUAUCAGCUUGUUGGUGGGGUAAUGGCCUACCAAGGCGUCGACGGGUAGCCGGCCUGAGAGGGUGUACGGCCACAUUGGGACUGAGAUACGGCCCAGACCCCUACGGGAGGCAGCAGUGGGGAAGAUUGCACAAUGGGCGCAAGCCUGAUGCAGCGACGCCGCGUGGGGGAUGACGGCCUUCGGGUUGUAAACUCCUUUCGCCAAGGACGAAGCGUUUUGUGACGGUACUUGGAGAAGAAGCACCGGCUAACUACGUG